UUAGUAACUGCGAGUGAAGAGGGAAAAGCUCAAAUUUAAAAUCUGGCAGCAUUUUGCUGUCCGAGUUGUAACCUAGAGAAGUGUAACCUGUGCUGGACCGUGUAUAAGUUUCCUGGAAUGGAGCAUCACAGAGGGUGAGAAUCCCGUCUUUGACAUGGACUACCAGUGCAUUGUGGUUGUGCUCUCAACGAGUCGAGUUGUUUGGGAAUGCAGCUCUAAAUGGGUGGUAAAUUCCAUCUAAAGCUAAAUAUUGGCGAGAGACCGAUAGCGAACAAGUACCGUGAGGGAAAGAUGAAAAGAACUUUGGAAAGAGAGUUAAACAGUAUGUGAAAUUGUUGAAAGGGAAACGUUUGAAGUCAGUCGCGUUAGCUGGGGAUCAGCCUGACAUUGUUGGGUGCACUUCCUGGUUGACGGGCCAACAUCAGUUUUGACUGCCAGAAAAAGGCCAAGGGAAUGUGGCACCUUUGGGUGUGUUAUAGCCUUUGGUCAUAUAUGGUGGUUGGGACUGAGGAACGCAGUGUGCCGAAAGGCCGGGUUUCGACCACGUUCACACUGAGGAUGUUGGCAUAAUGGCUUUAAGCGACCCGUCUUGAAACACGGACCAAGGAGUCUAACAUGCAUGCGAGUGUUUGGGUGGAAAACCCUUACGCGUAAUGAAAGUGAAAGUUGAGAUCCCUGUCGUGGGGAGCAUCGACGCCCGGACCAGAACUUUUGGGACGGAUCUGCGGUAGAGCACGUAUGUUGGGACCCGAAAGAUGGUGAACUAUGCCUGAAUAGGGUGAAGCCAGAGGAAACUCUGGUGGAGGCUCGUAGCGAUUCUGACGUGCAAAUCGAUCGUCAAAUUUGGGUAUAGGGGCGAAAGAC
rnacentral:rRNA from 1 species